rnacentral:tRNA from 1 species
UCCCCGGUGGCUCAAUGGUAGAGCGGGUGGCUGUUAACCACUAGGCUGGCGGUUCAAGUCCGUCCCGGGGAG